rnacentral:lncRNA from 1 species
CUCCUAUUGUGGUCUGCCUUAUAAAUGCUUGUAAGAUGUGGAAUAAAAUCGGCACUGUUGGACAUCAUUCUCGGUGUCCCCCCUUGUCCCCAUCUCUUUGUUUCUUAAUUUCUUUUCACCAUCCUCUUACCCUGACGUUUCCUGGUUGAUGUGUCGCGCUGGCCGAGACAGUCGUUUUUAUUUAUUUAUUUAUUUUUCCCUGUUAAAUCUAAAACCAGUCUUGAGCAAUCCACAGGGUGCUACUGAUGAAGAGGUGGAGGUAGAAGCUCUUCUUCUGUCUUGUUUUCUGGAGAUCUCUAACAUUUGGUAA